GAUGAAGAACGCAGCGAAAUGCGAUACGUAAUGUGAAUUGCAGAAUUCCGUGAAUCAUCGAAUCUUUGAACGCACAUUGCGCCCGUCAGCAUUCUGACGGGCAUGCCUGUUCGAGCGUCUUUCACAACCUCCCUCAAAAGAAAAGGAGGAUAGUAGGGAAACUUUGGUUUUCUACUUCCUUCCCUUUUGGUGUUGGGGAUCUGCCCGUCCUAGCUAUGGGCAGUCUCUGAAAAGCAAAGGCGGCUUUUUUCGCAUUGGAACGAAGCUUUUACAAUCCUACGAAGUCCCAAAUGUUUAUUUUGUUUGUUCGUACGGAGCUUCCGAAGAAGCCUUUUUGCCCCUUUUUGGUCUUCUGUCCCUCGACAGAAGUCAUUUUUUGAAAUUAUUGUGGACCUCGAAUCAGGUAGGACGACCCGCUGAACUUAAGCAUAUCAAUAAGCGGAGGA
rnacentral:misc_RNA from 1 species